ensembl:lncRNA
CAGCUGGUAGCGGCCAGUAAGGAGGCUAGUGCCAAGAUUCAGGAGCGAAAGGUUGAGGCCUGGAAUAGGGCCGAACCCCGAAGGCGGUUUUGAGGUAGAAAUUACGGGCCUUGCUUUGGGGUUGGGGCGUGGGGGUGGCGCUGGGUCUUGGCGCCUCGGUUGGGUGCGUGUUCUCCUACGCGCCACUAGGUGGGGCUGUCAUGGAAAGGAGGCCCCGUCCCUGCUCUCAGGAGACUUACAUUCCGCCAGGAGAAAGGUAGCGUAGCCCGCGAGGGCUGCAGUGCCCGUGCACGCAGGAACUCCCAAGAUAAAUGCACGUGGUGGUAAGUGCUCCGAAGAGAUUACACAGGGCGGGGGGGCGGGGGAGUGGCCUGGGAGACGUGGGAGCCACGACCUCAGUGCUAAGCAGGAGCCCGCCAUGCAGUAUUGCCGCCCUUGCUUCCCCUCAAAAGGUGGCAAACGCCUGCACCCCCUGCACCAAACUAGCCAGCGAGGCGCGCUUGGCCUCCCUUCGAGAAGGGAAGCAGCGGUCGGGCCGGGGCGGAGGAGGGCCGGGCGCCAGAAGGGCCUUUGGGCUUGUACCGUGCAGGUGCCUGGGAGAUAAUGAAGCGGCGCUGACCCGGGCUGUGGAGGCCAGAGAGGCCUGCCACGGCGUCUGGAAGAACAUGGCACUUAGAAGAGGGCACAGGAGGACAAGCCAGCCACCACGGCGCGAGAAGAAGCCGCCGGAAAGAUGA